rnacentral:rRNA from 1 species
ACGCUGACAGAAUGCUUAACACAUGCAAGUCAACUUGAAUUUGGGUUUUUAACUCAGGUUUGGGUGGCGGACGGGUGAGUAACGCGUAAAGAACUUGCCUCACAGCUAGGGACAACAUUUGGAAACGAAUGCUAAUACCUGAUAUUAUGAUAAUAGGGCAUCCUAUAAUUAUGAAAGCUAUAAGCGCUGUGAGAGAGCUUUGCGUCCCAUUAGCUAGUUGGAGAGGUAACGGCUCACCAAGGCGAUGAUGGGUAGCCGGCCUGAGAGGGUGAUCGGCCACAAGGGGACUGAGACACGGCCCUUACUCCUACGGGAGGCAGCAGUGGGGAAUAUUGGACAAUGGACCAAGAGUCUGAUCCAGCAAUUCUGUGUGCACGAUGAAGUUUUUCGGAAUGUAAAGUGCUUUCAGUUGGGAAGAAAAAAAUGACGGUACCAACAGAAGAAGUGACGGCUAAAUACGUGCCAGCAGCCGCGGUAAUACGUAUGUCACGAGCGUUAUCCGGAUUUAUUGGGCGUAAAGCGCGUCUAGGUGGUUAUAUAAGUCUGAUGUGAAAAUGCAGGGCUCAACUCUGUAUUGCGUUGGAAACUGUAUAACUAGAGUACUGGAGAGGUAAGCGGAACUACAAGUGUGGAGGUGAAAUUCGUAGAUAUUUGUAGGAAUGCCGAUGGGGAAGCCAGCUUACUGGACAGAUACUGACGCUGAAGCGCGAAAGCGUGGGUAGCAAACAGGAUUAGAUACCCUGGUAGUCCACGCCGUAAACGAUGAUUACUAGGUGUUGGGGGUCGAACCUCAGCGCCCAAGCAAACGCGAUAAGUAAUCCGCCUGGGGAGUACGUACGCAAGUAUGAAACUCAAAGGAAAUUGACGGGGACCCGCACAAGCGGUGGAGCAUGUGGUUUAAUUCGACGCAACGCGAGGAACCU